rnacentral:rRNA from 1 species
AACGGCUUAACCGAAUAGGGGAGGCGCAGCGAAAGCGAGUCUGAACAGGCGUUCAGUAGCUGGCGUAGACCGAACCGGAAUGAUCUAUCCAUGGCCAGGUUGAAGGUGCGGUAACACGCACUGGAGGACCGAACCCACUAGUGUUGCAAAAACUAGGGGAUGAGCUGGGAUUAGGGGGUGAAAAGGCUAAACAAAUCCGGAGAUAGCUGGUUCUCCUCGAAAGCUAUUUUAGGUAGCGCCUCGUGUAUCACUCUCGGGGGUAGAGCACUGUAAUGGUUGGGGGGGUCGUCUAGACCUACCCCGCCAUAGCAAACUCCGAAUACCGAGAAGUGCGAGCACGGGAGACAGACGGUGGGUGCUAACGUCCAUCGUCAAGAGGGAAACAACCCCAGACCCACAGCUAAGGUCCCCAAUGAUGUGCUAAGUGGAAAACGAAGUGGGAAGGCAUAGACAGCCAGGAAGUUGGCUUAGAAGCAGCCAUCCUUUAAAGAAAGCGUAAUAGCUCACUGGUCGAGUCGUCCUGCGCGGAAGAUGUAACGGGGC